rnacentral:rRNA from 1 species
UCAGGCUUACACAUGCAGUCGAGGGGCAGCAUGCCGGUUGCUUGCAACCGGUGAUGGCGACCGGCGCACGGGUGAGUAACGCGUAUCCAACCUUCCCGCGACCAAGGGAUAACCUGCCGAAAGGCAGACUAAUACCUUAUGUCCUCCUUUGAAGGCAUCUGACGAGGAGCAAAGAUCCGUCGGUCACGGAUGGGGAUGCGUCCGAUUAGCUUGUUGGCGGGGCAACGGCCCACCAAGGCUUCGAUCGGUAGGGGUUCUGAGAGGAAGGCCCCCCACACUGGAACUGAGACACGGUCCAGACUCCUACGGGAGGCAGCAGUGAGGAAUAUUGGUCAAUGGGCGGAAGCCUGAACCAGCCAAGUAGCGUGCAGGANGACGGCCCUACGGGUUGUAAACUGCUUUUAUGCGGGGAUAAAGUUGCCCACGCGUGGGUUUUUGCAGGUACCGCAUGAAUAAGGACCGGCUAAUUCCGUGCCAGCAGCCGCGGUAAUACGGAAGGUCCGGGCGUUAUCCGGAUUUAUUGGGUUUAAAGGGAGCGCAGGCCGCCGUGCAAGCGUGCCGUGAAAAGCAGCGGCCCAACCGCUGCCCUGCGGCGCGAACUGCUUGGCUUGAGUGCGCCGGAAGCGGGCGGAAUUCGUGGUGUAGCGGUGAAAUGCUUAGAUAUCACGAAGAACCCCGAUUGCGAANGCAGCCCGCUGUGGCGCCACUGACGCUGAGGCUCGAAGUGCGGGUAUCGAACAGGAUUANAUACCGGGGAA